AACGAACGCUGGCGGCAGGCUUAACACAUGCAAGUCGAACGGGCACCUUCGGGUGUCAGUGGCAGACGGGUGAGUAACGCGUGGGAACCUACCCAGUGGUACGGAAUAACUCGGGGAAACCCGAGCUAAUACCGUAUACGCCCUCAGGGGGAAAGAUUUAUCGCCAUUGGAUGGGCCCGCGUCGGAUUAGCUAGUUGGUGAGGUAACGGCUCACCAAGGCGACGAUCCGUAGCUGGUCUGAGAGGAUGAUCAGCCACACUGGGACUGAGACACGGCCCAGACUCCUACGGGAGGCAGCAGUGGGGAAUAUUGGACAAUGGGCGAAAGCCUGAUCCAGCCAUGCCGCGUGAGUGAAGAAGGCCUUAGGGUUGUAAAGCUCUUUCGGCGGGGAAGAUAAUGACGGUACCCGCAGAAGAAGCCCCGGCUAACUCCGUGCCAGCAGCCGCGGUAAUACGGAGGGGGCUAGCGUUGUUCGGAAUUACUGGGCGUAAAGCGCACGUAGGCGGACUGCUAAGUCGA
rnacentral:rRNA from 1 species